rnacentral:rRNA from 1 species
CAAGAGCGUAUGUAAAAGUUGUUGCAGUUAAAAAGCUCGUAGUUGAACCUUGGGUUUGGUUGGCCGGUCCGCUUUUUUGCGAGUACUGGAUUCAACCGAGCCUUUCCUUCUGGCUAACCAGUCGUUUCGGCGGCUGGCGAACCAGGAUUUUUACUUUGAGAAAAUUAGAGUGUUCAAAGCAGGCAUUAGCUUGAAUAUAUUAGCAUGGAAUAAUAGAAUAGGACGUUAUGGUUCUAUUUUGUUGGUUUCUAGGACCAUCGUAAUGAUUAAUAGGGACGGUCGGGGGCAUCAGUAUUCAGUUGUCAGAGGUGAAAUUCUUGGAUUUACUGAAGACUAACUACUGCGAAAGCAUUUGCCUAGGACGUUUUCAUUAA